AUGGAGUCACAGACCCAAGUUCUCAUGUCCCUGCUGCUCUGGGUGUCUGGUAUCUGUGGGGACAUCAUGUUGACACAGUCUCCAUCAUCAGUGGCUGUGUCAGAGGGAGAGAAGGUUUCCAUCAACUGUAAGGCCAGCCAGAAUCUGUUUGGCAGCAAUAGCAAGAAGAACCGCUUAGCCUGGUAUCAGCAGAAAGCAGGGCAGUCUCCUAAACUGCUGAUCUACUGGGGAUCCACACGGCAUACUGGGGUCCCUGAUCGCUUUGUAGGCACUGGAUCUGAGACUGAUUUCACUCUCACCAUCAGCAGUGUCCAGGCUGAAGAUAUGGGAGAUUAUUACUGUUUGCAAGAUCAUACCUCUCCUCCCACAGUGCUUCAGCCUCCAACAAAAACCUCCUCUGAGAAUCUCACCAGCUGCUCACACUACACACAGACAUGGACCUGCACACUUCCCUCUUCUGCCUGA